AUUUUUUUGGCUAGGGAAGGUCCUGGAUUGGAGCCAAGGCUCCAAGGGUCUGGAACAAAUCGCGUGAGCCCAAGGAGCGGCGGCGGCGGCGGUGCAAGAAGACGAGCCAUCCUCCCCGCCCUCCGGGGACCUCUACCUCUUCGCGAGCUUCUCUUUGCAAGAGUAGGCGAGGACGAGCCUCCCCCAUCCUGGGUGUUGGUGCCUGACUCAUUUUAUCAAGAUAUGAUGUUCACAAGAGGUUCUCCCAAAAUUUUGAUGUUAUCUAAAGCUGCUCAAAAGAAGGUUUCUCCUAAAGAUUCUACAUCAAAGAAGUGUGGAGGUGGUGUUUAGAGAGCGGCAUGGAAUUCUGAAUUGGAGAAGAGCCACGAUGAUUUGUUGUUUGAGCACAAUGUACCUCCAUAUAGGGCUCAAAAUUGCUGGAGUCCAGAUGCUUGGAACAAAAUUGUUACUAAAUUCAAUAAGCAUGAGUAUGUCACAUUCAACAAGAUUCAAAUUCAGGAGAAGGAGAGGGAAUUGAAAAGGGAUUACAAGAUGUUGAAAGAGGCUAGAAAGCAAAGUGGUGUUUCCUGGAAUGAGAAACGAUGCAUGAUUGUUGCAGAUCCACCAAUAUGGGAAAAUAUCAUAAAAGACUUGAGAGUAGACUACAAACCCUCGCAAAGUGCACACUGCGUAGGUGCGGAUGCACUCACUAAGCUAGCCUUCUCAAGUAAGGCUAUCCUAGCAUUCUUCGAGGUGAAGAUGGGCAAAUUUCUUGGUUGCUUGGUAUCAACAAAGGGUAUUGAAGCUAAUCCAAGUAAGAUAGAAGCCAUACUUCGAAUGGAGCCACCGAAGUCAAGAAAAGGUGCUCAAAGAUUGACAGGAAGGUUGGCAUCAUUGAACAGAUUCAUUUCAAGGUCAGCAGAGAGGAACUUGCCAUUCUUCGAAGUGCUGAAGUCAGCCGAAGUCUUUCAAUGGGGAUCAAAUCAGCAAAAAGCCUUCGAAGAACUGAAACAAUAUUUGAUAGAACUGACAGCCUUAACUCCACCUUCAUUAGGAACUCCAUUGAUGUUGUAUGUAGCUGCUUCCCACGCUGCGGUUAGUGCAGCACUGGUGCAAGAGAAGCAGGAGAACCAGGCAAGAAAACAAGUGUCAGUUUACUUCGUUUCCGAAGUUCUUAGUGUAUCAAAGAAAAAAUUAUACAGAGUUAGAGAAGGUACUAUAUGUUGUACUAAUUGCUUCCAGGAAGCUUCGACGUUAUUUUCAAGCAUACCACAUCAUAGUACCUUCUUCACAACCUCUCAAGGACAUAAUGAGAAAUAGAGAGGCCACAGGAAGAGUUGGAAAAUAGGCUGCAGAGCUGAACGAAUUCACUAUAGAUUUCAUCCAUAGAUCUUCGAUCCAAUCCCAAGCGUUAGCAGACUUCAUUGCUGAUUGGACGCUAGGGGCUCAGGAUGAAGAGAAAACAACCGAUGCCAAAGCCUGGACAGUAUUUUGUGAUGGGUCUUGGGGAACCUUCGGUGCAGGAGCAGCAGCUGUCUUGAUUUCACCAUCAAAAAUCAAAACCUGCUAUGCAGCAAGAUUGGACUUCAAUUGCACAAAUAAUAUCGCAGAGUAUGAAGCCCUUAUCUUGGGGCUCCGAAAGCUUAAGGCAAUGGGAAUAAGAAGGGCUAUACUUAAAUCUGACUCACAGGUCAUCUCAGGUCACGUUGACAAAAGCAGCAAAGCAAGAGACCCGAAGCUAGAAAAUAUAUGGAUGCAGUCCGAAGGAUGGAAGCCUCUUUCGAAGGUUUUUCUGUAAAAAAUAUCCCGAGAGGAGAAAAGGAGCAUGCAGAUUUGCUAGCAAAAUCAGUGGUACAGGGGUUUUCGUUACCUUUGGAAGUAUUCUUCGAAACAAUAAAAGCACCUUCGGUCGAGCUCAUGGAAAGGGCGGUGCUCAAAAUUUCACUAGUACAUAGUGAAGAUUGGAGGACUGAGACUAUAUAUUUCCUCCAAGGCAAUUGUCUUUCAGAUGACGAAGUUUACAAUAAAAGAAUGGAAGCAAGAACAAGACCAUAUGUAAUCAUAGAGGGGAAGUUAUAUAAACAUGGAGUUUGCUCUCCAUUACUCAAGUGCUUGUCCAAAGCCGAAGGUCAAGAAUUGAUGAAGGAAAUACAUGCAGAAUUAUGUGGGGCUCAUAUUGGAUCUAGGCCUUUGCUGGGGAAGGUUUUUAGACAAGGAUUUUACUGGCCGAAGGCAGCUUCAGAUGCAACAGAUUUGGUUCAAAAUUGUGAAAAUUGCCAAAGAUGCGCUAGAGACCAGAAACAACCUUCGUCUCUAACCCAGCUAAUACAGCCAACUUGGCCACUGUAAAGGUGGGGUCUGGAUUUGUUAGGUCAACUUCCACCAGCACAAGGAAACUUGAAAUAUGUUGUCAUAGCAGUGGAAUAUUUCUCUAAGUGGAUCGAUGCAAAGCCCUUAGCUACAAUAACUUCGGCCACAAUACAGAAAUUCUUUUGGCAAAAUAUUGUUUGUCGCUUCGGCGCGCCGAAGGCAAUAACCGUUGAUAUCGGAACUCAGUUCAAUGCUAAAACAUUCAAAACAUUUUGUAGCCAGAUUGGUACAAAAAUACAUUUCGCAUCAGUGAGGCAUCCAGAGUCAAAUGGACUGGUAGAAAGAGCAAACAGAAUCAUAACAAUAGGAAUAAUGAAGUCAAUCUUCAACCAACCCAAAGGAAAGUGGCCAGACGAAUUAAUAAAAGUGCUGUGGAACCACAACACUGCUGUAUCAAGGUCAACAGGAUUUACCCCGUUCAAGCUUCUGUUUGGUGACGAAGCAAUAACACUGGAAGAAGCAAGAACGGGUUCAAUAAGAACCUUAGCUUCGACAGAGGAUGAAGGUGAUUGCCAAAUAACAAGAGACACCAUAGAAGGGACUAGACUGCAAGCAAUAGAACACAUCAAUAAGUAUCAGGCUGAAACAAUCAAAUGGUGUGAUAGAAAGGUAAAAUUGAAGAAUAUUAAGCCAGGACAUUUGGUGCUUUGUAGAGUGGCCAACCCUGAUACAAUGGGGAAGCUUCAGCUCAAGUGGGAAGGUCCCUUUUUGGUGGUAUCUUCGUCAAGACCUGGAUCUUACAGAUUGAAAUACAUGGAUGGCAACGACAUACCAAGGUCUUGGAAUGCGGAUGAGCUUCGACGAUAUUAUGUGGAAACAAUGAAAUUUUCUUAUUUCUUCCCUAUGGCACCCUUUUCCUUUCAAGAGGGGAGAAAGGUUUUUAAUGGGGCCAUAGGUUGUAAUUUUCAUUUUUUGUUUAGCCCUAUGCAAUACAAGGGCCAAAUUCCCCCACAUGUAAAAUGUAACAUCAGGGACCACACCAUCGAGUGCAAGAGGCCAUGGAGAAGCUCAAAAGUCGUCCCUAAGGGGAUGCAGAGCUAAAAUGCCACCUAAGAGGUGAAGAAGCUACAGAGCUGUUCCUAAAGGGACGCAGAGUAAGUUACGAAGCUCCAAAGUCAUUCAUUAGGGGAUGCAGAUCUUAAAUACCACCUAAGUAAAAGGUGAAGAAGCUCCAAAGUCGUUCCCAAGGGAAUGCAGAUCUUAAAUACCACCUAAGUAAAAGGUGAAGAGACUCAAAAGUCGUUCCUAAGGGGAUGCAGAGUCUAGGUGUGUUUUUGGCAUACAUUUGCAUAUUUCAUCACAUCAUCCUUCGCAUUCAUAUGAACAUACAUUAGACAUUUGUAGGCUCAUCAUCAUGGCAUAAAGCAUAGACAUUAACAGGAAAAACAGGAAAUGCUUGUCCUUGAUGAGAAAAUACUUCGUUGCAUACGAAGAUGCUUCGUCUUCAAUGAAAAAUGCUUUGAUGUGAACAAAAAGAAGAGAAGGUGUUUUUCGCCUUCGGCUCAAAAGACUACAAGCAUUGGUUUCGUCCACAACAAAGCAGCCCACACAUGAGCGAAAGGUAAAAUGCUAUUACAAGGUAUUAACAAAUAUUUACAAUAAUUUGUCUAGCUGUCAAUUACAAUUUUUUGUCAUAUGAUACAAAGAGUUUCUAAGUCCUUCUACAGAUAAAUACAAAAGGAGAUUCUAGGGUUUUCAGUAUUUCAGAACAAGCUUCGGCUUAGCGAUCUUCAGUGCCAUCAUUCUGCACAAAAACAAGGUAUAAGGUAAUCGGAAAUUUAAUAAGGAAAAAUCAAGGUAAAAGGACAAAGGCAAAGUUUUAUACUGAGUGAAGCAGCUUUCGUGUUUCAUCCCUGGCCAAUUCACACCCGCCCUUUGCCCAAAUUUGGGUAAUAAACCUAUUUCCUAUACUUCGAGCCUCGGUCGGAACGUCAACCAAAUCCAAUGAUGAAAGAUUGAAGUUUAGCUUAUUGACAGCUCUCGCGUGAUUGCACCCGGCCUUCAUGAAUGCUGCAGUUGUGCCGCAUGAAGCCACCAGAACACAGAAAUAUCUGUGCCCAGUUAUAACUUCAUCAAGGGCCUCAACUUCAUUCUCGAUAUGCUCGAAGGCCCCGGGGAUAUCUUCAGUAGAAGGGGUGAUUUCUUCAGAAGUGGCUCCAACUGUGUUAAAUAUCCCCUUCAAUCGAGUAAUACAUCGAGUGACAAAGCCAGAGCAUUUAUCCUGAAGGUUCUUAACAGUUUCACUUAGCUUCGCAUUCUUUUCAGCUUCGGCUUUGACCUUUGCUUUAAGUUCCUUCGUUUCGUGGUCAAAGCGCUCUGAUCUCUCGUUCAAGGUUGCUCGAGCUUUGUCUAGCUCUCCGCUCAGCUUAUCAUUCUGAGACCGCGUUUCCACGAGAGAGCCUUCGGUUGAUUGCAGCAGGCUGUCUUUUUCUUUUAAAGAAUCUUCAAGUUUCUUAAUUUUAUCUUCUAAGCCUUCAAUAAUAUCUUUGUUUUUUCUAUCUUUGGUAUCCUGCUGCAUUUUCAAGGCUUUGCUUAAUAACAUACUAUGCAAAACAAGUUAAAAUUAGAAUACUCAAACCAUUACGAAGGUAAUAUUAAAAAGUUUAGAGAAAAACCUCACCUUGAAAUUGGAAUAAAACAAACUACCGACAAUAUGUUGCCGCCUGUAGCAGCUAAUGUCAGUCUCCAAAUUUGGGAAUCCAACACUCUUGGAUAAGGUGCCUACAAUCUUCGCCCCGGCGCGGUCGCGAAUGCAUCCCAAGAUUUCUUCAUCGACCCCACCGAAGAGUAUGGUUGGUAACCACAAGACAUAGCAAAUUCUUUUAACUCUGACUUAUCUUCCUUAGAAAGUUCCUGGCCACCCAAGUGCCGAAGGUCAAAAUCUUUCUUUUCCAAAAGAACAUCUUCAAUUUUCUUUCCUUUAUCAGGCACUACGGCCAUGCUUUUCUCCGCAACCACAUCUGAUAUAAGUUUGUCAAUUUCUGACAUUAUGGUUGCGAAUUCUUUAGCUUCGACUUUGCUAGCAUCUUCAGCGUCGGCAGGAAUCGCUGCUUUCACCACCGAAGCUGAAGGCGACGUUUGCUUGCUCAAUCGCUUGCAUUAAUUCACAAUCCGCUGUUUCUUCUGCCCUCCAACCUUCUCCUCCGUAGCCGAAGGCGCUUCCUUCUUCUGUAAAAGGUUGGUCAGUUCCGAUCUCAUAGGACUUAUCAGCUUGAAUGGUGGGUGAUGAGGACAUCACUACCAUGGAUACAAACAACACUCCCCUAGUUGAUGUUCAAGGUCCGAUUACUCGCACACGCGCAAGACUAUUGAAUUUGCAGGUGAGCUCGUUCCUAUGUACUUAUUCUUGUGCAUUUGAGAAUAGUGUGCUACCUAAUGAAUUAAUUGUACUUAGGAAUGAAGGAAAGGACCAGCAAGGACAUGGUGAAGGACUUGGAGGCGUGGAAGGCCAGCAAGGACGUUCGGAUCAAGGUGGAGGACCAAACUGACGUCCGUAAUCUGUCUCGGUGCUGCGACACCGUAAUUGGCCUUUGGGCCGUGUAUCUUUGUUGGGCCCAUUAGGGUGCGUCCAGGGAGGGGUCACGCUCCUAACCCUUAUAUAAUCAGUAGCCGCCACCACAUUAGGGGCGGGUUUUUCUUAAGUUAGAUCUGUUAAGAACAGUCGUCGUAGAUCGGUUUGUGAGACCCCAACUUGUGAGCUUAAUCAUUCAUCCGCAAUAUUCUA